AGUGAACGCUGGCGGUAGGCCUAACACAUGCAAGUCGAACGGCAGCACAGUAAGAGCUUGCUCUUACGGGUGGCGAGUGGCGGACGGGUGAGGAAUACAUCGGAAUCUACUUUUUCGUGGGGGAUAAGGUAGGGAAACUUACGCUAUUACCGCAUACACCCUACGGGUGAAAGCAGGGGAUCUUCGGACUUUGGCGGAUUGAAUGGGCCGAUGUCGGAUUAGCUAGUUGGCGGGGUAAAGGCCCACCAAGGCGACGAUCCGUAGCUGGUCUGAGAGGAUGAUCAGCCACACUGGAACUGAGACACGGUCCAGACUCCUACGGGAGGCAGCAGUGGGGAAUAUUGGACAAUGGGCGCAAGCCUGAUCCAGCCAUACCGCGUGGGUGAAGAAGGCCUUCGGGUUGUAAAGCCCUUUUGUUGGGAAAGAAAAGCAGCAGGUUAAUACCCCGCUGUUCUGACGGUACCCAAAGAAUAAGCACCGGCUAACUUCGUG
rnacentral:rRNA from 1 species